rnacentral:rRNA from 1 species
UACGUAGGGUGCGAGCGUUAAUCGGAAUUACUGGGCGUAAAGCGUGCGCAGGCGGCGCGUUAAGACAGGUGUGAAAGCCCCGAGCUUAACUUGGGAAUUGCGCUUGUGACUGGCGAGCUGGAGUGUGGCAGAGGGAGGUGGAAUUCCACGUGUAGCAGUGAAAUGCGUAGAUAUCUGCAGGAACACCCGUGGCGAAAGCGGCGCGCUGGACCACUACUGACGCUGAGGAACGAAAGCUAGGGGAGCAAACAGG